UGAUGGAUCCACCUGGAUGUAACCCAUCGUAAGUUGAAGGUCUCUAAAGGAAAACGUAGCACCUAUGUAGUUUGUAACUACCAGUGGCUUGAGACCUCGGCUGGGGUCUGACUGUGCUUACACCAGAAUCUAGAUAAACAAUGAACAUGCACACAACCUCUUAAACAUUCCAAGGGCUUCCCCACAUAUCUCGUGAACAAAGCAAACAAACUCCUUGUCUCAUCUACCUCCUCGCCUACAAUAUUAGACAGGGACGGUAACACCUCUCUCUCUCUCUCUCUCUCUCUCUCUCUCUCUCUCUCUCUCUCUCUCUCUCACACACACACACACACACACACACACACACCUCUUAAAGGCAAGUUGCAUCUACUUGCGAGGGGACUGACCUUAACCUUUGUCAAACUGGCAUCAACAACCUUUUUACAGUAAAGGAAACUGAAGCCGAGAGCUAAAUGACUUGCCCAGGACUGCGCAGUUGACAAGUUAGAAAAUGAACUUCCUUCUUUCUCCCAUCAGACCACAAAAGACAUCUGGACUCGCAUCUAACUGCGGAGUACGCAAAGCAACAUUGACAGAUUCCAUUCCAGCUGUAGGAACUUGUCGGGCGUCCGCUGAGGAAAAAGACAGCUCCAAAAGAAGGAUAUCUCCAAAGACCAGGCUCCCGCGGCCUGAGUCGCAGACAGUGAUGCCGGGAGGGAGGCAAAAGAACUUGGAAACAGUGGAUCCCGACACAGGCGCGGCCCCGGGAGCGGCCCCAUCAUUACCCAGCGGCUCCUUCACCAGCUCUUUCUCGAAGAAAACGAAUCGCCGCCACUGCAGGUGCGGCUGUGGCUCUCCUGUGGCGUGUUCUGUGGAAGGCCCUGUCCUUCCAGGACAGAGGAGGACCAUUUCUCAGUUCAAACAUAUGAGUAGCUGAGCUCUCCUGCUAGAGCCUCCAAACAUGCUUUCAAGAAGUACUGUGAUGCCAGCCAGUCAGGGAUACAUGAGAGACCUUGUCUUCAAACAAAAUAAAAGGAGAAUAGCACACA